GACGAACGCUGGCGGCGUGCUUAACACAUGCAAGUCGAACGGAAAGGCCCUGCUUUUGUGGGGUGCUCGAGUGGCGAACGGGUGAGUAACACGUGAGUAACCUGCCCUUGACUGUGGGAUAACUUCAGGAAACUGGGGCUAAUACCGGAUAGGAGCUACUGCUGCAUGGUGGGGGUUGGAAAGUUUCGGCGGUUGGGGAUGGACUCGCGGCUUAUCAGCUUGUUGGUGGGGUAGUGGCUUACCAAGGCUUUGACGGGUAGCCGGCCUGGGAGGGGGACCGGCGACAUUGGGACUACGGUACGGCCCAGACUCCUACGGGAGGCAGCAGUGGGGAAUAUUGCACAAUGGGCGGAAGCCUGAUGCAGCAACGCCGCGUGCGGGAUGACGGCCUUCGGGUUGUAAACCGAUUUCGCCUGUGACGAAGCGUGAGUGACGGUAAUGGGUAAAGAAGCACCGGCUAACUACGUG
rnacentral:rRNA from 1 species